UAAGGAAUAUUGGUCAAUGGACGAAAGUCUGAACCAGCCAUGCCGCGUGGAGGAUGAAGGCCCUCUGGAUUGUAAACUUCUUUUAUCUGGGACGAAAAAAGGUCUUUCUAGAUCGUCUGACGGUACCAGAUGAAUAAGCACCGGCUAACUCCGUGCCAGCAGCCGCGGUAAUACGGAGGGUGCAAGCGUUAUCCGGAUUCACUGGGUUUAAAGGGUGCGUAGGUGGGUUGGUAAGUCAGUGGUGAAAUCUUCGAGCUUAACUCGGAAACUGCCAUUGAUACUAUCAGUCUUGAAUAUUGUGGAGUUAGCGGAAUAUGUCAUGUAGCGGUGAAAUGCUUAGAUAUGACAUAGAACACCAAUUGCGAAGGCAGCUGGCUACACAUAUAUUGACACUGAGGCACGAAAGCGUGGGGAUCAAACAGGAUUAGAUACCCUGGUAGUCCACGCCCUAAACUAUGGAUACUCGACAUACGCGAUACACUGUGUGUGUCUGAGCGAAAGCAUUAAGUAUCCCCACCUGGGGAAGUACGAUCGCAAGAUUGAAACUCAAAUGAAUGACGGGGUCAUAGCUGUUUCCUG
rnacentral:rRNA from 1 species